GGUCCUAAAAAUCCAAUAGGAUUAUAGAGAAUUUACAAUUAAACGUUAACAAUCAUAAUCACAUAUUAAACAAGGUCAAUUAAAUUUUAUUGAAAUUAUAAAAGAAACUUAAAGAAAUCCUAAAGAAAUAUAAGAAAAUAUUAAAGAAAAUUUAGUCAAACCGUAACAAAAAUCUAAUAGAACCUUAAAUUCUAACCAAAUCCUAAUCUUAAUCCAACCUUAAUCAAACCCUAGAUAAACCCUAAAACCUGAAUCAAAUCCUAAUCAAACCUUAAUCCCUAAUCAAAUCUUAAUCCAAAUCCUAAAUCCUAAAUCAAACCCUAAUCCAAAUCCUGAACCCGAAACCAAAUCCUAUCCAAAUCUUAAAUCCUAAAUCAAAUCCUAAUCCAAACCCUAAAUCCUAAAUCAAACCCUAAACCCUAAAUAAAACCCUAAUCAAAUAUUAAUCCUUAACCAAAUCCUAAUCCAAAUCCUAAAUCCUAAAUCAAAUCCUAAAUCCUAAAUAAAAUCCUAAUCAAAUAUUAAUCCCUAAACAAACCCUAAUCCAAAUCCUAAAUUCUAAACUAAAUCCUAAUCAAAUCUUAAUCCCUAAUCAAAUCCUUAUCCAAAUCCUAAAUCCUAAACAAAAUCCUAAUCCACACCCUAAACCAAAUCCUAAUCCAAAUCAUAAUUCCUAAAUUCUAAACCAAAUCCUGUCCAAAUCCUAAAUCCCAAAC
rnacentral:lncRNA from 1 species